UACGGAGGGUGCAAGCGUUAUCCGGAUUCACUGGGUUUAAAGGGUGCGUAGGCGGAUAUGUAAGUCCGUGGUGAAAUCUCCAAGCUUAACUUGGAAACUGCCAUGGAUACUAUAUAUCUUGAAUGUUGUGGAGGUUUGCGGAAUAUGUCAUGUAGCGGUGAAAUGCUUAGAUAUGACAUAGAACACCGAUUGCGAAGGCAGCAGGCUACACAAAUAUUGACGCUGAGGCACGAAAGCGUGGGGAUCAAACAGG
rnacentral:rRNA from 1 species